UUGUGACUUUUGCUGUUUUAGGGGUCAUUAUCAUUCAGGGAUGUGGCUGUGGAUUUCACCCAGGAAGAGUGGUGCCUAUUGGACGAUUCUCAAAAGGAGCUGUACCUGGAGGUCAUGCUGGAGAAUGUGCAGAAUCUACUUUCUGUGGGUCUUCCAAUUCCUAGAGAAUAUUGUUCCUCCUGUUUUCAGCAAGGGAAGGCACCUUGCUCCUGUCCAGAGGCAGACACUAAUUUUGAAGUGAAGGAGAUGGCUACAAAGCUGAGGCUUUUUGUAGAAGGAUCUGGUCCCCAAAGAUGCAUUAAUGAGGAUCCCCAUGACUUAAUUUUGAGAGAAAUCUGUAACUCUGAUAUCAAGACAAAUAAAAAUCUAA